rnacentral:rRNA from 1 species
ACGGGUGAGUAACGCGUGGGAACAUACCUCUUGGUUCGGAACAACACAGGGAAACUUGUGCUAAUACCGGAUAAGCCCUUACGGGGAAAGAUUUAUCGCCGAGAGAUUGGCCCGCGUCUGAUUAGCUAGUUGGUGGGGUAAAGGCCUACCAAGGCGACGAUCAGUAGCUGGUCUGAGAGGAUGAUCAGCCACAUUGGGACUGAGACACGGCCCAAACUCCUACGGGAGGCAGCAGUGGGGAAUAUUGGGCAAUGGGCGCAAGCCUGAUCCAGCCAUGCCGCGUGAGUGAUGAAGGCCCUAGGGUUGUAAAGCUCUUUUGUACGGGAAGAUAAUGACGGUACCGUAAGAAUAAGCCCCGGCUAACUUCGUGCCAGCAGCCGCGGUAAUACGAAGGGGGCUAGCGUUGCUCGGAAUCACUGGGCGUAAAGGGUGCGUAGGCGGGUUUUUAAGUCAGAGGUGAAAUCCUGGAGCUCAACUCCAGAACUGCCUUUGAUACUGAAAGUCUUGAGUAUGGGAGAGGUGAGUGGAACUGCGAGUGUAGAGGUGAAAUUCGUAGA